rnacentral:rRNA from 1 species
GGCUGCAACUCGCCCACAUGAAGCUGGAUUCGGUAGUAAUCGCGUGUCACAAGCGCGCGGUGAAUACGUCCCUGCUCCUUGCACACACCGCCCGUCAAAGCACCCGAGUGAGGUCCGGAUGAGGCGUACCUCGUACGUCGAAUCUGGGCUUCGCAAGGGGGCUUAAGUCGUAACAAGGUAGCCGUAGGGGAAUCUGCGGCUGGAUCACCUCCA